rnacentral:lncRNA from 1 species
UAUUUUAUAAAAUGACCUAAUAACGUUACAAAGGAGAGAUAAAGAUAAAAAAACUGUUAGCGAAUGCUCUAACAGAUAUCAGCAUGGUCCCAUUUUUACGUGGGGUUCUUUUUAUUAACAAAUAUUACAAGGUCUCCCUCAUCUUCUUGUGUGAGACCUUGAAAUUAUGUAAAUUGUUCUGCUAAUAGGUUCACAAGGCCCCCCAAGACCCAUAGGGGUUUGUAAUUCCAAUGUAAUUUUUAGCAUGAGAAAGAAAAUUAGGAUAAUAAAGUGAUAACCACCACUUCCACCGUCUCUGUAACCACCACCUGAACCACCACCAUCGCCACCUCCACCGCCACUGUCACCACCGUCACCACCGUCAUUGCAAUCUCCUCCAUAGCCUUCACCGCCGCUUCCGAAACCACUAUGCCACUACCACCUCCUCCGAAGUUGCCUCCUCAACCUCCUCUAAAGUAUAAAAUUUGUAUAAUCUUUCCUAUGAAAUUUGAAUUUGAAUAUUUGAAUUUGAAUUUAUAUUUGUGGUUAGAUCCUAGAUAUUUGAAUUUGAAUGAUUAAUUAUGGCAGUUAUUUCUCCUUAAUUUUAGGUUUCCUUAUUAAUAUGAAUUGCGUUAUUUUUGUAAUUAUUUUGUGUAUGUAUUAUUUUUGUAAAAAUUUUUAAUUGUUGUAUAUUAGUGUUAAGGACCCUAAAUUAUAAAGUCCAUUGCUUUAUUAAUUAGGCCAAUGGGAUGGCCAUAAAUAGUAUGAUGAGUAAAAUAUAAUUU